ACUGCUAUAUUGUAUUAUCUAAAUACUUUUACUAAAUACUAUAGGUACCUAUUUACUUAUUACCUAAUAUUUAUACUUUAUUUUUAAAAUCUUAAUAACUAACGAUUUUACUAGGUGCUUAUGUAUAAUUGUAUUAAUAUCUAAUUAAUAUUUACAAGAAUAGAUACAAUAUAAAUACUAUAUAAUAAAUUCAAACCCAUGUACAAAAAAUAUUUGUUCCAGUCUUCAUCCCUUGGGAAAAAAGUCUAGCCUUGGACCCGCCUACCUAUUCACAAUAGUUACAAACAUUUGAAAAUUAAUUUGAUCCAAAAAUGUAUACAAUUUUCAGUACAAUACAUAAUGAAGUGCAUAUAAUGCGCAUCUGUCACGCAGGAACUUGGUACCUACCUACCUACCUCUAUCGGCUCAUACGUCAACGCUUCUAGGCCAUGAGUAUAAGAUCUGUGGUGAUUUAUUACCUUUUUGAUAAUAGAUCUAUAAACUUAUGGACACAGCUUAAAGAGAGAGCAAUCAGUAGAUAAGAUAGCCAAGAGAGAAAAACUAUUCAUUUGAGACGCUUCAGUGCUUUUCCCUCAUUCUAUCUUGUCUCCAUGAACUUUAGGCAAAGUGAUGUGGUAGGCCAGUUCCAUUAAUUUAUAGGUCUGUGGCUUUAAUAAAUAGAUACUAGAUAUU